rnacentral:tRNA from 1 species
GAGAAAGGCCAGAGGCAAAAAGCACUGCUAAUUCUUUCAUCCGUGGCUAAAUUCCGCGGCUUUCUCG